GUCCAACAAGAAGAAGAAGAAGAAGAAGAAAAAUGAUGGAUCCUCGAGCUUUGUUGUGUUUCACUCUCAUUUCCAUUGCCUUCCCCCUCGCCCGAGCUCAGUCUCCCUCCAGUCCUCCCACUGCCACCCCUUCUCCUCCCACCACCUCCACCCCUCCUCCUGUUUCAUCUCCCCCUCCAGCUGCUACUCCUCCUCCGGCAUCCCCACCACCGGCCUCUCCACCUCCCGCAUCCCCACCACCAGCGACUCCACCUCCGGCUUCCCCACCACCGGCAUCUCCUCCUCCGGCUUCCCCACCACCCGCAUCUCCCCCUCCGGCAACUCCUCCACCAGCAUCUCCUCCUCCUCCCGCGACUCCACCACCUGCACCAUUGGCAUCACCGCCGACGGCAGUUCCAGCUCCUGCACCAAGUAAGAAGAAGGUGAAGGCAGCAGCUCCGAGUCCGUCUCCUGUUUCGAGCCCGCCUGCGCCGUCAGUAGAGGCUCCAGGACCUGCAGGUCCUG
rnacentral:lncRNA from 1 species